UCUCUCUCGGACAAGGUAACUUUUAUCAAUAUAUUUGCCUGUAAUUACUAAUUAGCCGCUAAUGUGGCUAUCAUACGGAACUUCACAUCUUGUUGCAAGCUUUAACAUCAUCACUCAAGAAACAAGGAUGGUUCUGUGUUAUGCACCGCCGGAUUGUAACCACUACUUUGAUAAGCACACAUGCAUUUGAUCGUUUUCCAAAGCGUCGCUGGAGCCGUGUGAUUAGACCAACAGGAGUGCAUCCCUCAGACCAUCUGGUGCAUGUACAUCCUGUGCCAGUGUGAUCCAGUUGUGGAGACGACAGCACAUCGAGCCUGUGGACGAACAGGUCAGUAACUCAUCAAAUAUGAUACAAUAUUGUGUAAAACAUAGAAUUUGUAUAUGCAUUGAAAAACGGAUUGGAAGAAAACCUCAAAGUAGGAACAAAAACUAUUUGUGCAAAAACUAUUUCCAAGUUGGUUACAGAUGUUCACUGCUGCAGUGCCAACUUUGGGAGCAUGUGGUCCUUGAAAAACUCCUCUAGUCCAGCAAUAGGAGUCUACCAGAGGUUGUCACGCUGGAUGGGGAUGGUGACGGAGGCUUUGGUGGUCCACACAAUGAAUAAGCAAGUGUCCUUUCCAGUGUUGUGGAGCUGCCCUUAACUUGCUGCCAGUAAGGAUGGUAUUCACGGAGGCUGUAAGACCCUCCCUUCUGGAUAUAUAAAUCCUUCGACUUCACUGCCUCUUCAAUGUUAAGGCCCCUUGCACCAUAGGGACACUUAACCUCCACCACUGCUGUGGUGCCCACUCUGGCUAUCUACCACCAGACCAUCCGGUGAGGCACCCAGGAUCCCAGACCCCAUGACCAAAAGCCUUGACUCCUGCCCAUCCAUCUCUGUAGCCAUUUUGAAUGCCUUGAUGUCCUUCGUUAUCUGUGCCCCAUUUUUACCCCAGUCAACGUCUCAACACCGUGAAAUGUAUUCCUUGUAAGAAAUGUGCUAUAUAAAUAGUUUUAUUUGAUAACAUUACAGAUGUAGAAUAUUUAAUAAACUGUAAUAUUCAUAUGUGGGCAAGUGCAAUUUUUCUAUAAACUUUUAAUUGUUAACUUGGGAUUUUAUGAGUUGACAUAGCAUAUAGUGGGAAGGAUCCUAUAAAUCAAGACUGUGUGAAUGCAUGUACCACUCUGAAUAAAUAAAUAUUGUGCCUUUUGAAGA